UAUGAAGAACGCAGCGAAAUGCGAUAAGUAAUGUGAAUUGCAGAAUUCAGUGAAUCAUCGAAUCUUUGAACGCACAUUGCGCCCGCCAGUAUUCUGGCGGGCAUGCCUGUUCGAGCGUCAUUACAACCCUCAGGCCCCCGGGCCUGGCGUUGGGGAUCGGCGGAAGCCCCCUGCGGGCACAACGCCGUCCCCCAAAUACAGUGGCGGUCCCGCCGCAGCUUCCAUUGCGUAGUAGCUAACACCUCGCAACUGGAGAGCGGCGCGGCCACGCCGUAAAACACCCAACUUCUGAAUGUUGACCUCGAAUCAGGUAGGAAUACCCGCUGAACUUAAGCAUAUCAAUAAGCGGAGGA
rnacentral:misc_RNA from 1 species